CCUACGGGAGGCAGCAGUAGGGAAUUUUCGGCAAUGGGGGGAACCCUGACCGAGCAACGCCGCGUGAAGGAAGAAGGAAUUCGUUCUGUAAACUUCUGUUAUAAAGGAAGAAAGACGGAUGGAGGAAAUGACAUCCGAGUGACGGUACUUUAUGAGAAAGCCACGGCUAACUACGUGCCAGCAGCCGCGGUAAUACGUAGGUGGCAAGCGUUAACCUGAAUUAUUGGGCGGAAAGAGUGAGCAGGCGGAAGCAAAGGUCUGUGGUAAAAUAAUGAAGCUUAACUUCAGUAAGCCAUUGAAACCGGGCAGCUUGAGUGCAGGAGAGGAACGUGGAAUUCGAGGUGUAGCGGUGAAAUG
rnacentral:rRNA from 1 species